CCCAACUUGAUAAAAGGAACACCUAUGUGAGAAUACUAUUAAUUGACUACAGCUCAUGUGGGAGAUAAGAAGAUGUGCUGAGGGGGAAAGAACAUAAAUAUUUUGGCUAUAGGAAGAGAAGAAGACAUCCGGUUCUGAUAGAGCAACAGGCCACGGUGGGAGGCAUAGCGACCUGACAACCAGACUUGAGUUAUGCAGAAAGGGCCCCAAAUACUCAAGAUAGCCAGACAAAGAAGUACAGAGAAACCACAUGAGGAGGCCCUGCUAGCAUUAUAAUCUAUACAGCUGUCGGAUGUGGGCGUUAACAAGCAACAACGGAUAUGGAGAGAUAAUGGUAAAGAACGGUCAAGGGAAGCUAUUUUCAUAUAGAGGGAGGGGACUCUAUACGUUAUGCAAAGACAGAAUCAUAUAAAAUAAGGACUCUGUAAUAUGAGAAUUUAGUCUUUUUCAUGGAGGGGCUCGGCCCUGUUGCGUGUGUGGUAGGGUCCUUCCAUGGAAGGGCUCGGCUUUGCUACUCUGUAUUAAAGUCUAUAUUGAAUUCACAAGUUCUUGUAAGAGUAUUAUGUUCUUAAGACAAUUUUCCACGACAUAAAUGGCGAGCUUGCCAGGAGAUCGAAGGGACCUCGGUCAGUGUCGUUCUUGGCUGGUGACAGUUUCUCUGGACAAUCUCACAAACGGGUGGCCGCCCAACUUUAUACAGAAGGGGUUUUCAUUUUCUCUUGUCGGAAAUGUCCUUGGAGACUGCGAUACGGGGGAAAGCAGUUAGUGAUAGUCUGCUGUUUUAAGAGUAAAAGUAUCUGGAUUAGGCUAUAAAUGGAGUUCAGAAUAAAAGAGUCCAGUUCCUGUGUUCUUGACCUACCAGCAAGUACACACCAUACCGGGAAAGAAUAUGCGUUAGUGGAUUUAUUUAGAGAAGGGAUAGUGUAAAAUGGGGUGCUUGGUAAUGUUUUUCAGGCUAAUUUGGUGGGAUGUCAAAAGCACUAGUAUGGAUAUAGCAAAGUGCAGAAGAAUGGAUUAGUUUACAAAUGUCUGAUUGAAUAUUGCUGGUGUCAGUAAACGUCAGGGAAGAAACAUAAUUAGAAUUAUUGCAAGCAGCACAGUUAAACGUUAGCUUGGGUGUUUGACUGUCAUAUGGGAAAAAUAGUAGGAACUAAUGAUUCAGAAAGUUUGGUUCAACUCUGUUCAUUACAACAUAUUUGGGGUUUUGAGAACCAUGUGACUCAAGAAAAACGUAGUCUUUGUUUCGGUAUUCGAAACAAAUGUAUUGAAGUGACAUAAGAAUUGGCUGAUGUAUUUUCUACAUUUGGUGCUUUACAGGUUAAUCUUAAACUAAUGAUGUUUAAUGAGUGUUGACAGUAUGUGAAUGGUAAUAUAGUACAAUAUCUUUAUAGAACUCUAAUGAUGCGAUAUUUUAGUAAAUUGAAAAACUAAGGUUUCAAUACAAGGUUAUAUGAUGAAUAAAUUGAGCCUUGAGAUUGUAAAAAUAAAAAAGAAUAAAAUAAUUUGUGGUUGGAAGCAAACAAGCAACUAGUGCGAUGUUUAAAGGUAUGAAUAAACAUUACUAUUGUUUGGUUUUAUAGUUAGAUAACACUAGUAAAUUUGAGCAGGAAAGUUAUGUAUUCUGGACAUUGUAAUCUGUUUGAAUUACGUAUUGACUAACAAGAUGAUAAGACAGCAUCAACUUUUUGAAGGUUCUACAGUGGUUAACCAAUAGUUUUGUACUAUAUACUAAACUAAUGACACAGGUUAAAAUGAUAAGAUUACUGGAAAGGCCUCUGGGAUUUAAUUUGGAUGGACCUUUUUCAAUUCAGAUUUAAGCUGGGUAUACAGGAAGAUGGAAAUGUUUUGAAAUGUGUCCAAAUGGUUUCUGAAGGACAGGGACAGAGAAGGGAGAGGAACAAUUUAAUGGUGUCAAAUGCCAUGAAUCCUAAGAAUUUCCUGUGAAGACUGAUCAACUUCACUAGAAAUUAUUGGAACAGGUGGGAUUUAAAUAUAAAAUGACUAAGAAACACCAGUCUCUAUUCAGAGUGUACAAUUACUUUGAAAUUCUAUUAUUUCCAUAUGAAAAUGAUGAAGAGUUGUAAUCUUAAAUUGACUAGUUACUCAAAUAAUUGUAUUUUUGAUUUAACAUGUUGUUGUUGAAUCAUGUGUUCAUAGGGAAAAUUAUCAGUUCCAUGGGGUUAUGGUUUUUGGGUAAACAUACCUAGAUUAUACAAAUGUGCUUUGUUCAGUCUGCAUAUAGAAGGGAAUAUCUGUUAACAAGGGAUGACAGUUCCUCCAAAUGGAUUAUGAUAUAAGUAAAGAUGAUUUCAUUUUGUGUUUUUAUUUCAAUACAAAAUUUGCUACAUUGGGAUAUUGAAGUUUGCGAGGGGUUAUGUUGUUAAAUUAUCUGUAACUCGUCAGAGAUCACCAGUAGAAUAAGGGAGUUAUAAUAGAAGGUGAUGUCAGAAUGCUUUAAUACAUGGUAGAGAUAUUUUUACCACAACAAGUGUGUGUGAAGCUCAAAGCCUCCCUAACCGGCUGAAGAGUGAAGGACAACUGUGUCUGAUGACCUGUGAACUGUCUCUGAAAUAAACAUGCUGGAAUGAUAUGUGAAGAAAGACUAAAGGGGAAUAGGUUACUGACCUUUCAUUACCAGGCCUCUCAUGACAGAAAAACAGAGGCAAAAGGGGGCUGUAAUAUGAAUAGAUAGUACUGGUACUACAAGUUUGGUAUAAAUGUACAUUUUUAAGGGGAUGAGGCACUAAGGACUGAAUUCUGAUUUGGGUUGGACAAUUUAUAAAACGUUGUAGUUAUGAUUUGGACAUAGAACUGUUUAAAUUUACUAGGCCUAAGGAAGCUCUGGAAACUAAAUCCUGAGACAGGGAGGUUGACAGAACUUACAGAAGAUUAGAUUAAAGGUUUUUGUUUCUUUUGUUUUAUUAUGUCAUUAGAAAUGUAAUGUUAAAUUGUAUUGAUAUAAUUAAUUGCAUAAAAGGUUUAUAGUCUGUUUUGCGAUAACACACAAGGAUGAAGGAGGAGACCAACAUAACACGGGCAUAGAACGUAACGGAUGGACGUUUUCCCCGGGUUUAGUUACAUUAUGAGUAGUGGUCACUUAUUACAAAUAUGUAGUUAUUGUAAUUUAUUUUUCUCUUUUCUUGUCUGGUCAAUUUAUUUUUUGUUUUAAGGAACAUCAGUGUGUUUAUUGUUCCUGAGGAGGGAAUGAUAUAAAUUGACUAAAAUUGAUUUGAGAAUGUUUUGGUAUGUAUCAAACGGUGGAAGGAAAUUAGAAGUAGGAAAUGAUGUGUUAUAGGUUAGAAGUUAGAAGAACUGUGACUACAUUGGUGAUCUGAGGGGGCUCAUAAAUGAAGGUUAUGGUAGUAGAGGGGUGUUAUUUCUAGAGACUAUGUAUAUUAUUAGAGGAGGAUAACUCACAGAAGAGAAAGGACAGCUGGUUGUGUAAAAUAUAGGGAUGCACAACAUAGGGACAAUUCUGAGUAAAUUGAACAUUACACAUACCUAGAUUAUGGUAAGAGUAAAAGUGAUAGUGGUGAAAUUAUGGUAACACUAUGGUAAAAGUUUAAGAGAGUUAUGACUUGGAGUUUUAAAAGGUUGGAUAUUCUUCCAACUAGAAGACACUUGACUGAUUACAUGUUAUUCUAACAGCAGUUGCUGUAGGGACCAUCAUUUGGCUAUCAUUAUGUAUAAGUAUAUCUGUGGCAGGAGGCCAGGUAUUUGAGACAGAAUGUUUACAUAGGGCUGUUAUUUAAAUAUUACAAAGUAGUGAUUUUGACAUAAGAGGAAAGUCUGUUGUCAGGAAAUAACCCAUGUGUUAGUGUGUAUGUCCUCAGGAGAAAAAGCAGCACACAAGAAGCCAGAAAUAACCAAGGGCAUGGGUUGAAUUCUGGAGAUUGAGUGUACAUCAAGAUACACCAGGCUGGGGGUAUACUUCUUACAGCACCUGCAGUGGUAAAGAUCAUAAGGUCUCUCUUCGGUGGGUGCAUAAUUCUCACAAGAAGUAAGGUCCAGCUGAAUAAUGGGUGAGCUUGAAAACACCAUGACAGAGGACGUGGAGAGAACAAGAGAGACUAGAUUCCACUGUAGACAUACAGUUGGUGGGUUUGGGAGCUACUUAUUUUAUUGGUUAAUGCAUCAUAUGAAAAAGGACAGAUGUUAGGGUAAUUGUGCUCUAAACAACAUGUUGAAGGCAAUAGUGCGAAUGCAUAUACAGUGUUGAAUUGAGAAGAUAAGAUAUAAUUUUGAUUAGGGAUAUGCAGAUGGGAAACAAAGUGAAAAUGACAUGAUUUGGGAACACCUCUCUGAACCUGGGGCCGAAAGGGGAAGACUGGGUGAAAGCAUGAGGAAGCUUUGUAGUGCUUUUAUUUUUGUGGAUUCCAGCAGAAAAGUAUCCUGGAGGCAUAGAGUCAGGUGAAGAGAGAGUGGGAAUUGUCAUGGUCUCAGAUUUCGGUUUUCAUGAAUAUAUUUGUGCAUAACAUAUCACAUUGUCAAUUCUGUUGUGUUUUUGUUUUUCACUUUCCAAGUCUUAUGCUUAGGAACCAGAAGGAGAGGGGUCACCAGCUUCAGCUGGAAUGUUAGUUGGUGUGUGAUGAGUGAUGGAAAUAAGUGGAUGUAUGGUGUAAUCAUAAAACAGAGGCCAUAAGUCUCUAAGUUUGAAUGCCUCACAGAAAGAAGGCAGAAACCUGAACCAGGACCAGAGGUUCCACGUCCGGUGAUCCAAGAGACCAGGUCUGAGUGUUCCGGAAGAAAGGAAUGAGCCAAGGAGGGAGGUCCCUACAAGGUGGCUCGAACAAUGUUAACUGCUGUCCAGGUGAAAGGAAGCAACACGUGGUACCAUCUAAACCACUGUACCAAAGUCCCGUCGGAAAGGAGGGGACAACCACCAGGCCAUGAAGGAGCAGAGGAAAUCAAGGAGCCAGGCAGGAGCCAGGCAGGAGCCGAAGAGGAGGUGGAUCGAGGAGCAACUUCCAACAGCAAACAGACACUCUCUCCUGAAUAUCCAGAGAGUCCAGGGAUGGGGAGGAGUGACAUGCCUGUUGCUCCUGAUGACAUACCUACGCUGACAGAUACCCUUGACAGAGGUGCUGUCCAAGGGGACGGAGAAACAACGACAGGAGAAUGGAAAGGAGACUUUCUGUCCUCACAUGGUUUUCCUAACAGACAGUGAACCAGGACAGAUGAAGAACGGCAGAAUGGCCUUGACAGCAACAGCGACAAACCUAGAAGAAAUUGUAAAAUCACCUCCCACUAGAGAUUAGUACACUACAGCAAAACGUAGGAUGGACAAUUGCAAUUUGUGUAACAAAUCACUUUUGUCUGAUCUUUUAAUAGUACCUGAACUUGCAUCUUUUGAAGAAUGUGUUAGGUGGAAAAUGUUCAAUGUAUUCAGAGAAAAUAAUACAUACCUUUGUGUAACAUAGAAUGCAGCUUGGCAUUAGGUAGCACUAAAGGUAGAAGUGAAAUAAACAAAAAUAUGUUGGGAGAACAUGAAUGUGCAACACAUGACUUAUGAACUGAAUUAAAUGGUCCUCAUAAUGAUAGGUUUACUAUUGUAAAAAGUAGAUAUUAAUGUUUCUACAGCUAUGGAGAUAAUGGGAUAGAUGUGAGAAACACUACAGUUAAUUGUUAAACUAUUGGGUGUUAGAAACUGCAGGAGUUAAUAAAAUUGAUGAUAAAGGAAUGAUUAUGGAUCACAAAGGUACAUGUGGUAAUAUAACUCAAGUAACACUAUCUCUUGCAAUAUUAAAGGAGGAGGACAUGAUUGCAAUGAUUAUGGUGUACAAGGGUUUCCUGUUUUAGUAAAGCUCCUGAUUAUUAUGUGCUUGAUUGAAAACUGGACUGAUGCAAUAUGUAUAACCUGGUAAUCAUUUACUAUGGAGUGUAUUGUCUAUUUCCUUUCUACCUUUGACAAGGGAUAAAUUAAGUUAGAACUUCUGAAUUUUGUAUACUAAACUUGUGGAUAAAAUGGGCAAAUUCCAGUUACAAGUGUCCAUGAACCAUGUCCUUAGUCCUUUAGCAGGUGUUUUCAUUUGUGAUUUCACUGUUGUUACAGAGGUGUCUGCAACGAAAGAUCUUGUUUAAGUGUCGUAUUUAGAAUGACUUUAUAAGGGUUUUCUUAUUUUCUUUAUGUUUUAAAUAACUGAGAUAACCUCAGGCAAGGCUAUGUACUACAUGCUCAUUGCUUCAUCAUAAUAUAUUGGUUUAUUAUGUGUGUUUUAAUUUUCAUUUCUAAGGUUGACUGGGUUUUUUACUCUUGUCUAUGUUAUUGGAUUGGAGAUGUUUGGUCCAGUUUAUGUCUAUAUCUUAUUUCACAUGUCGUUCUAAUGUGUGUAUCAUUCUGCUUCCAUCCUUGUUGCUUGUAAUUAGAUAUUAUUUUAGUGUGGGACUAAUUAGUCCCAGAGGAGGGAUUUAUGUGGGAGAUAAGAAGAUGUGCUGAGGGGGAAAGAACAUAAAUAUUUUGGCUAUAGGAAGAGAAGAAGACAUCUGGUUCUGAUAGAGCAACAGGCCACGGUGGGAGGCAUAGCGACCUCACAACCAGACUUGAGUUAUGCAGAAACUGCCCCAAAUACUCACGAUAGCCAGACAAAGAAGUACAGAGAAACCACAUGAGGAGGCCCUGCUAGCAUUAUAAUCUAUACAGCUGUCGGAUGUGGGCGUUAACAAGCAACAACGGAUAUGGAGAGAUAAUGGUAAAGAACGGUCAAGGGAAGCUAUUUUCAUAUAGAGGGAGGGGACUCUAUACGUUAUGCAAAGACAGAAUCAUAUAAAAAAAGGACUCUGUAAUAUGAGAAUUUAGUCUUUUUCAUGGAGGGGCUCGGCCCUGUUGCGUGUGUGGUAGGGUCCUUCUAUGGAAGGGCUCGGCUUUGCUACUCUGUAUUAAAGUCUAUAUUGAAUUCACAA